UUCCCCUAGUAACUGCGAGUGAAGCGGGAAAAGCUCAAAUUUAAAAUCUGGUGGUCUUUGGCCAUCCGAGUUGUAAUCUAGAGAAGUGUUACCCGCGCCGGACCGUGUAUAAGUCUCCUGGAAUGGAGCGUCAUAGAGGGUGAGAAUCCCGUCUUUGACACGGACUACCGGGGCUUUUGUGGUGCGCUCUCAAAGAGUCGAGUUGUUUGGGAAUGCAGCUCAAAAUGGGUGGUAAAUUCCAUCUAAAGCUAAAUAUUGGCGAGAGACCGAUAGCGAACAAGUACCGUGAGGGAAAGAUGAAAAGAACUUUGGAAAGAGAGUUAAACAGUACGUGAAAUUGCUGAAAGGGAAACGCUUGAAGUCAGUCGCGUUGGCUGGAAAUCAACCCUGCUUUUGCUGGGCGUACUUUCUAGUUGACGGGCCAGCAUCAGUUUUGACCGGUGGAAAAAGUCUAGGGGAA
rnacentral:rRNA from 1 species